GAUGAACGCUGGCGGCGUGCCUAAUACAUGCAAGUCGAGCGAACGGACGAGGAGCUUGCUUCUCUGAUGUUAGCGGCGGAGGGGUGAGUAACACGUGGAUAACCUACCUAUAAGACUGGGAUAACUUCGGGAAACCGUAGCUAAUACCGGAUAAUAUUUUGAACCGCAUGGUUCAAAAGUGAAAGACGGUCUUGCUGUCACUUAUAGAUGGAUACGGGCUGCAUUAGCUAGUUGGUAAGGUAAAGGCUUACGAAGGCAACGAUGCAUAGCCGACGUGAGGGAGUGAUAGGCGACCUGGGAACGGAGACACGGUCCAGACUCCUACGAGAGGCAGCAGUAGGGAAUCUGCCGCAGUGGGCGAAAGCCUGACGGAGCAACGCGGAGUGAGUGAUGGAAGCCUCCGGAUCGGAAUACUCUGUUACUAGGGAAGAACAGAUGUGUAAGGAACUGUGCACUUCGUGACGGUACCGAGUAAGAAAGCAACGGCUAACUACGUG
rnacentral:rRNA from 1 species